UACACAAUGAACUCAAUCAUGACUACCCGUCUGUUAUGAACACUUAAUUUUACUCAAAGUAACAAAACCUCUCAAAAGCAAUAAAAGCAUAUUGAAGAGAUUUUAAAAAAGAUUCUGUCAUAUCUGAUAAAAACAUAAUUUAUUAGAAAACCUUAUUUUGAACAAAGCAAAAUAUAUAAUAUAUUUGGUUUUCCCAAACCAGUUUAAA
rnacentral:rRNA from 1 species